GUGCUCACUUCAGAAACACAUAUACUAAAGUUAAACUGAGUCAAAGAAGAUUAGCAUGGCCCCUUGUGUAAGGAUGACAAGCAACUUCAUGAAUUUUCCAUAAUUUUC